rnacentral:rRNA from 1 species
AGGAUAAACGCUGGCGGCGUGCUUUAAGCAUGCAAGUCGCACGGAUGCUCGCAAGAGUGUGAGUGGCAGACGGCUGAGGAAGACGGAAGGAACCUGCCCUUCAGAGGGGGAUAACUCCGCGAAAGCGGGGCUAAGACCGCGUACGCUCACCCUGGGGAGAUCAGGGUGAGGAAAACCGCAAGGUGCUGAGGGAGGGGCUUCCGGCCCAUCAGGUAGUUGGUGUGGGUAAAGGCCCACCAAGCCGAUGACGGGUCGCUGGUCUCAGAGGAUGAUCAGCCAGACUGGGACUGAGACACGGCCCAGACUCCUACGGGAGGCAGCAGCUAGGAAUCUUGCGCAAUGGGCGAAAGCCUGACGCAGCGACGCCGCGUGGGGAUGACGGUUUCGGAUUGUAAACCCCUUUUCGGUGGGACGAGAAUGGACGGUACCAUCGGAAGAAGCCCCGGCUAACUACGCGCCAGCAGCCGC